UACGUAGGGGGCAAGCGUUGUCCGGAAUCAUUGGGCGUAAAGCGCGUGUAGGCGGCCAGAUAAGUCCGCUGUGAAAUCUCGAGGCUCAACUUCGAGCUGUCGGUGGAAACUGUCUGGCUAGAGUCCGGAAGAGGAGAAUGGAAUUCCUGGUGUAGCGGUGAAAUGCGCAGAUAUCAGGAAGAACACCCGUGGCGAAGGCGGUUCUCUGGGACGGUACUGACGCUGAGGAGCGAAAGCGUGGGGAGCGAACAGG
rnacentral:rRNA from 1 species